rnacentral:lncRNA from 1 species
GGAAGGCGGGGCCUGGCCGUCACUCAACAAGGCCCCGCCCAUCAGGGCUGGCCCACGCUCGCGGCGCGCCUGCCCAGGAAGGUCUCGUGAAGGGGUCGGGGCGGAGCUACGCGCGCGGCGCUCCGAAGCCGUCAGGCUGACGCAGGUCUCCCCCCGCCUCCCCGCCUCCCGCGGCCCCGCCCACGCUAUUUAAACCACUGGACUCAAUAUGGCGGCGCGCACUCGGACGCUUGACCCCGGCGUCCCCGGACGCGGGUGCACGUGGCCGGAUGUGGGAGCCCCUCAGUUGGGAAGUUUACGUUGCGUCAGUCCCAGCAGACGGCAGUAAGGAUAGCUGUUCUUCUGGUGGAGGGAACAGAUGAUUGGUCAGCUAUACAUCUGGAUCCGUCUCUGGUCCAACCACUGAUCACUGAUGAGGCUCUUCAGCAGUUCGAACGAGAGAGGCCAGGCUGCCAAGGCGUACUGAGCAUGUGUCACGCCCUCGGGGUGAGUAGUUUGACAAGGACCGUGUGUAUUUCCAUCUUGAAACUGGGAUACAUUUUCUCAGUCAUAUCCAUUCGAUUUAAAAUUACUCAGUUUGCAUGGGGAUUGACGCACUCAUGGACCACACGUUUAAUUGAUGGGAGUUAAGAUGAGUCAGCACUUCUUUUUCCUGGUUCGUGCUGACAGUUCAAAUCCAGGCUCUACCGCUUAGAGCUGUGUGACCUUGGGAAGGUUACUUGACAUCUCUGUUCCUCAUUUUCUAAUCUAUACGUGAUGGAUAAUGAUUACGCCCAAAUUAUAGAAUGCGUCUGAGGCUAAAUGACUUAAUGCAGGUAAGGAGCACAGAAUACUGUUUGUCACAUAGUGAGAACUGUAUAAUUAUUGUAUUGUCACUAUCCUAAAACAUAAAACAUUAACAUAAAAAACAUGUAAUUCAGCAGAGAAGAUAGUCUAUAAAGUAGUUGUUAUUAUAUACAAGAUGAUGAUUAGACUUAAAAUUCUAAACAUAUCUGAAUCCAAAUGAGUCCAUAUUGCAAAUAACAGAGAACCCUGUCACAUGGUACUGAUUUUAUUAUUCCUAACCGUGAUGGUAUUAAUAUGAAGAAUAUUUAGAUUAUUAGAUCAAACUAAUAUUUAGUUUAUCAUCUAUCACAAAGGUUUCCAUUAUUUUCGAUGUUUUAAAUAUGUUGAAAAACAUGAAUUACAACAAUGAGGAUGAAAUUAAAUGGUGAAAAUGGAAAUGUAGUCAUUUAGAAUAGUUUUUCUGUCUUCAGAUGAAAAAUAGAUCCUGCAGGAAGCUAGGUCCUCGGAACUGAGUACGUUCUAAAAUCUAAUUUGUUUUUCUUGCAGUUUGUAGAUGUGGAAUUGUUAAAAUGUUCAUAUCUUUGAGCUAAUGUGGCAUAACAAAUUUAAUUUGCAAAACAAAGAUGACGUGUCUGGAACAUGAUCCAUAAUCACUUUUUUCCCCUCUUUCAGCUUCACGUUGUAGGGGCUCCAUUAGACUACUCAAGCAUAUUUUGUGACUCUGUAGAAAUUUCCAAAUAAAUAAAGUCUUGGAAAAUCA